UACGUAGGUGGCGAGCGUUGUCCGGAAUCAUUGGGCGUAAAGGGAGCGCAGGCGGGCAUGUAAGUCUUUCUUAAAAGUGCGGGGCUCAACCCCGUGAUGGGAAAGAAACUAUGUGUCUUGAGUACAGGAGAGGAAAGCGGAAUUCCCAGUGUAGCGGUGAAAUGCGUAGAUAUUGGGAGGAACACCAGUGGCGAAGGCGGCUUUCUGGACUGCAACUGACGCUGAGGCUCGAAAGCCAGGGGAGCAAACGGG
rnacentral:rRNA from 1 species